rnacentral:rRNA from 1 species
CUCCUUUGAAGUUAGCGGCGGACGGGUGAGUAACACGUGGGUAACCUACCUAUAAGACUGGAAUAACUUCGGGAAACCGGAGCUAAUGCCGGAUAACAUUUGGAACCGCAUGGUUCUAAAGUAAAAGAUGGUUUUGCUAUCACUUAUAGAUGGACCCGCGCCGUAUUAGCUAGUUGGUAAGGUAACGGCUUACCAAGGCAACGAUACGUAGCCGACCUGAGAGGGUGAUCGGCCACACUGGAACUGAGACACGGUCCAGACUCCUACGGGAGGCAGCAGUAGGGAAUCUUCCGCAAUGGACGAAAGUCUGACGGAGCAACGCCGCGUGAGUGAUGAAGGUUUUCGGAUCGUAAAACUCUGUUAUUAGGGAAGAACAAAUGUGUAAGUAACUGUGCACAUCUUGACGGUACCUAAUCAGAAAGCCACGGCUAACUACGUGCCAGCAGCCGCGGUAAUACGUAGGUGGCAAGCGUUAUCCGGAAUUAUUGGGCGUAAAGCGCGCGUAGGCGGUUUCUUAAGUCUGAUGUGAAAGCCCACGGCUCAACCGUGG